rnacentral:rRNA from 1 species
UACGUAGGGGGCAAGCGUUGUCCGGAAUCAUUGGGCGUAAAGCGCGUGUAGGCGGUUCGGUAAGUCUGCUGUGAAAGUCCAGGGCUCAACCCUGGGAUGCCGGUGGAUACUGUCGGACUAGAGUACGGAAGAGGCGAGUGGAACUCCCGGUGUAGCGGUGAAAUGCGCAGAUAUCGGGAGGAACACCAAUUGCGAAGGCAGCUCGCUGGGACGUUACUGACGCUGAGGAGCGAAAGCGUGGGGAGCGAACAGG